AACGAACGCUGGCGGCAUGCCUAACACAUGCAAGUCGAACGGGAUCCUGGUUUCGGCCAGGUGAGAGUGGCGGACGGGUGAGUAACGCGUGGGAACCCUGCCCAGUGGUGGGGGAUAACUGCGGGAAACUGCAGCUAAUACCGCAUGAGCCCGCAAGGGGAAAGAUUGAUCGCCAUUGGAGGGGCCCGCGUUCGAUUAGGUAGUUGGUGAGGUAACGGCUCACCAAGCCUACGANCGAUAGCUGGUCUGAGAGGAUGAUCAGCCACACUGGGACUGAGAUACGGCCCAGACUCCUACGGGA
rnacentral:rRNA from 1 species